GGGCUCUUAGCUCAGUGGUUAGAGCAGGGGACUCAUAAUCCCUUGGUCGUAGGUUCGAAUCCUACAGGGCCCA
rnacentral:tRNA from 1 species